GACUAGCCCUUAAUUUGAUUACAAAAUUGCAAAUACGAUACUGCUACAGUGACUUUUCCAAUUCUGCCACUCGAGCUCUUAACCUCUCCUUUUCACUUUGGCUUUCCAACAAGUUCUUUUUUAAGGCAUCUUCCCGUACUCGAGUAUCAUGAAACUCUUUUCCCCACUGAUCGAAUUUAGUCUUUUCUUCUUUGAUUUCCUGCCGCCAUUGCUCCAACGUUUUACCUAAAUCGGCAGUUCUUAUUGACAUACGCAACUUCUUGUAAUAUAUUUUUAAACUGUUCAAAUCCUCUUCAGCUUUGUUCUUUCCCUUCC
rnacentral:lncRNA from 1 species